GUCUGGUGCCAGCAGCCGCGGUAAGACGGAGGAUGCAAGCGUUAUCCGGAAUUAUUGGGCGUAAAGCGUCUGCAGGUGGCCAAUCAAGUCUGCUGUUAAAUAUCGGGGCUCAACUCCGAAUCGGCAGUGGAAACUGAUUAGCUAGAGUGCGGUAGGGGUAGAGGGAAUUCCCAGUGUAGCGGUGAAAUGCGUAGAUAUUGGGAAGAACACCAGUGGCGAAGGCGCUCUACUGGGCCGCAACUGACACUGAGGGACGAAAGCUAGGGGAGCGAAUGGGAUUAGAUACCCCAGUAGUCCUAGCUGUAAACGAUGGAUACUAGGUGUUGGCCGUAUCGACCCGGCCAGUAUCGUAGCUAACGCGUUAAGUAUCCCGCCUGGGGAGUACGCACGCAAGUGUGAAACUCAAAGGAAUUGGCGGGGGCCCGCACAAGCGGUGGAGUAUGUGGUUUAAUUCGAUGCAACGCGAAGAACCUUACCAGGGUUUGACAUGCCGCGAAUCUAGGGGAGACCUUAGAGUGCCUUCGGGAGCGCGGACACAGGUGGUGCAUGGCCGUUCUU
rnacentral:rRNA from 1 species